rnacentral:tRNA from 1 species
GCGAUUAUCAUUUAAUGGUAGGAUCACUGUCUUCCAAACAGUUUGUGUCGGUUCGAAUCCGACUAAUCGUA